rnacentral:rRNA from 1 species
GAUGAACGCUGGCGGCGUGCCUAAUACAUGCAAGUCGAGCGAACAGACGAGGAGCUUGCUCCUCUGACGUUAGCGGCGGACGGGUGAGUAACACGUGGAUAACCUACCUAUAAGACUGGGAUAACUUCCGGAAACCGGAGCUAAUACCGGAUAAUAUAUUGAACCGCAUGGUUCAAUAGUGAAAGACGGUUUUGCUGUCACUUAUAGAUGGAUCCGCGCCGCAUUAGCUAGUUGGUAAGGUAACGGCUUACCAAGGCAACGAUGCGUAGCCGACCUGAGAGGGUGAUCGGCCACACUGGAACUGAGACACGGUCCAGACUCCUACGGGAGGCAGCAGUAGGGAAUCUUCCGCAAUGGGCGAAAGCUUGACGGAGCAACGCCGCGUGAGUGAUGAAGGUCUUCGGAUCGUAAAACUCUGUUAUUAGGGAAGAACAAAUGUGUAAGUAACUAUGCACGUCUUGACGGUACCUAAUCAGAAAGCCACGGCUAACUACGUG